CCCUUAGAUGUUCUGGGCUGCACGCGCGCUACACUGGUGCGUUCAGCGGGUUUAGCACCUUAACAGAUAUGUUUGGGUAAUCUUCUGAAAACGCACCGUGAUGGGGAUCGAUUAUUGUAAUUAUUAAUCGUCAACGAGGAAUUCCUAGUAAGUGUGAAUCAUCAGUUCGCGCUGAUUACGUCCCUGCCCUUUGUACACACCGCCCGUCGCUGCUACCGAUUGAGUGGUCCGGUGAAUUAUUCGGACCGGUGGACUGUGGGGAAACCCGCGGCCUGCUGGGAAGUCUUGUGAACCUUAUCACUUAGAGGAAGCAGAAGUCGUAACA
rnacentral:rRNA from 1 species